GUCUACGGCCAUACCACCCUGAACAAGCCCGAAGCUAAGCAGAGUCGGGCCUGGUUAGUACUUGGAUGGGAGACCAUCUAGGAAGACCAGGUGCUAUAGGCG
rnacentral:rRNA from 1 species